AGAUGAAGUUGCUGGGAAGGCUUCUCCAUCAGCUUGGAUGAAUAAAGUUUUGAAGCCCUUGGAGCUUCCUGCAGAUGUAUCUACAGGGAGGACUUCUCCAGCUUCUCCAGCUCCUACCUUGGAUGCUAUACGCAAGCCCAGCUCCCAUCACAGUGGUACUCCAACAGGGAAAGUCCAAGAUACAACAGAUAAGAUGUCCCUGCAACCUUCCAAACAGAUGAGGCAAGAGCUGAAGGAACCCCUGCAGACAAGAGAAGAGAUGGACAUAAUGCUUCAGUGCAAGCUGGCAUUUCUUGAAGGAAGCACUCCAUCUUCGGUGCGAGCCCCAGCUGCAGGAAGGAAGGCAAUGCCAGACACGG